CGCCUCUUGCCCAUAUAAGAGGUCCAGCCUGCCCAGUGACUCUUGUUCAACGGCCGCGGUAUCCUAACCGUGCGAAGGUAGCGUAAUCACUUGUCUUCUAAAUAAAGACCAGUAUGAAAGGCAUCACGAGGGUUAAACUGUCUCCUCUCCCUAAUCAGUGAACCUAAUCCCCCCGUGAAGAAGCGGGGAUUUUUAUAUAAGACGAGAAGACCCUAUGGAGCUUUAAACAUCAUAACACCUGCUACUAUAUUUUACUCACCCAGGUACCCCCACCUUUUAUAGCACGCUGAUUAUAUGUUUUUGGUUGGGGUGACCGCGGAGAAAAACUAAUCCUCCGUAAUGAAAGGGACCUUCCCUAAACAGCAAGCCACAACUUUAUGUAUCAACAAACUGACAUUCAUUGACCCAAUACAUUGAUUAACGAACCAAGUUACCCUAGGGAUAACAGCGCAAUCCACUUUUAGAGCCCCUAUCGACAAGUGGGCUUACGACCUCGAUGUUGGAUCGGGGUAUCCUAGUGGUGCAGCCGCUACUAAAGGUUCGUUUGUUCAACGAUUAAAACCCC
rnacentral:rRNA from 1 species